AGGGGAGGGAGGGAGGCCGCGGGAGCUGGAAGGCUGGCGGAAGCUGUGUCACAGCACGCCCCUGCGCCCGCCACCCAGACAAGAGAGAUCUAAGUGGGGUGAGAGGAGUGAGGCCACCGUGUGCCCCAAGGGACCAGACAGGGAGAGAAAACCUGCCUUGGGCAGCCAGGGCCGGCUGCAAGGAGGAACCCUCCCCAGCUGGGGGAAAGAGCCAGGCAGCCGCGGGCUGAGCAAGGAGCAAGUCAGCGAAGAGGCAGGGGUGUUGGGCAGGAGAUGGAGCUGAGGCCUACCCCAGGCCAGGCCUGCACGUGACAUGCCCACGUGGCGUUGAGGAAAAACCAGUGUUUCCCACCGACUGGAACACAAGGGCAGGAGGCGAAGGCAGGAGAAUCCAGGCGACCCUGGGGCUUUUCUGCUGGGGCACUGUUCCCCCUGUGGCAGGGCCAUCCACAGAGGGGCUGGCGGAAGUGGGAGGACGAGUGCAUUCCACAGAGAUGGGAUUUGAACCCGGGCAUCCUGGCACGGGCCCCAGAUCCACAGCUUCUCACCUGCAGCCGCUGAGGAUGUGGAGGCAAACCAGGCAGGCCCGUGGGAAGGACCACCAAAAAGCGAGCUUCUCAAUGCUGGAAGGGGACUCGUUGGGUCAGUGGGACGUGGGCUUCACGUUUGCUGGGCUGAAGACGUAGCUCUCCAUGCUGGCAUCCCAGCGGACACCCCCACUGCCACUGCUGCACCACGUCUUCACGUACACCAGAGAGCAGACUUGAGAGUUUCUGCGCAUACAGUGAGUGUGAAAUGGUGCCCUGCUGGGUUUUGAAUCGGCAUUCCUUGACCACCGGCCAUAUUGCAGCGCUUUUCAUUUCUUCUGUCAAAUGCCCGUGCAUGUCUUGGCCUUACAUUUUGCAGGUGUUCUGUAUUUUCCAUACCAAUCCCUGGGGUGUAUGUCUUCGGCCUACCUGUUAUUUGUCUUCUCAGUUUGCUGAUGUAUCAAGUGAUAAACAGAAAGUCUUCAUUUUAAUAUCAUAGCAUUUAUCAAUCUGAUUUUUUUUUUUUUUGAGACGGGGUCUCGCUCUGUCGUGCAGGCUGGGGUGCAUUGGCGCAAUCAUGGCUCACUGAAGCCUCCUGGGCUCAAGCGAUCCUCCCACCUUAGCCUCCCAAACACCUGGGACUACAGGCAGGCGCCACAGUGCCUGGCUAAUUUUGUAAUUUUUUUGUAGAGACAGGGUCUCGCUAUGUUGCCCAGGCUGGUCUCAAACUCCUGGACUCAAGUGGCCCUCCCGCCUUGGCCUCCCAAAGUGCUGGCCCGUGAGCCUGUGAGCCACUGCGCCUGGCUACCUUCUUUUGAAUUCCCAUUCAGACUGUGUGUUGCUGGUAUAUAGAAAAACAAUGGAUUUCUAUGUACAGAUUUUGUAUUAAGUAACCUUGUAAACUCUCAUAUUAAGUCUAAUAAUUAUGUUUGGGUUCUCUUUGUGGAUUCUUUUUGAUUUUCUGCGUACACAACAAUCCUAUCAUCUGCAAGUAAUGACCAUUUUGUUUCUUCUAUUCCAGUCUUUUUAGCUUUGAUUUCUUUUUUUGAGGCAGAGUCUGGCUCUGUCACCCAGGCUGGAGUAUAGUGGCACAAUCUUGGCUCACUGCAACCUCCGCCUCCCUGGUUCAAGCAGUUCUCCUGCCUCAGCCUCCCAAGAAGCUGGGACUACAGGCACCCACCACCACGCCUGACUAAUUUUUGUAUCUUUACCAGACACAGGGUUUCACCAUGUUGGCCAGGCUGAUCUGGAACUCCUGAUCCACCUGCCUUGGCCUCCCAAAGUGCUAGGAUUACAGGCGUGAGCCACUGUGCCCGGCCGAUUUCUUUUCCUUGCUUUACUUCCCUGGACUUGCUUUCUCUUACUUUUACUUCCUUUGAAUGAAAGCAUAGGAGGCGCCGGGCAUGGUGGCUCACGCCUGUAAUCCCAGCACUUUGGGAGGCCGAGGCGGGUGGAUCACCUGAGGUCAGGAGUUCGAGACCAGCCUGACCAACAUGGAGAAACUCUGUCUCUACUAAAAAUACAAAAAAAUUAGUCGGGCAUGGUGGCCCAUGCUUGUAAUCCCAGCUACUUGGGAGGCUGAGGCAGGAGACUCGCUUGAACCCAGGAGGCGGACGUUGCGGUGAGUCAAGAUCGAGCCAUUGCACUCCAGCCUGGGCAACAAAAGCGAAACUCUGUCUCAAAAAAAAAAAAAAAAAAGCAUAGGAGGCAUUCUGUGUUCCAUUAUUAAGUAUGAUGUUUGCAGGGAGCAUUCGGUAGAUAUGUUUAUCAGAUUUAGAAAGCUCCCUCCCAUUCCUAGUGUGCUAUAUGUUGAAUUUUUAUAAAAUGCUUUUUCUGAAUGCAUUAAUAUGAUCACAGGGUUUUCCUCCUCUAAUCUGUUAAUGUGGCAAAUUACAUUAAUUCAUUUUUAAAUGUUAAACCACUCUUGUAUUUUCUGGACUAAACUCAACUUUGCAUGAUGUAUUUUUUUCAUAUACAAUUCUGGAUUGGGUGGUUUUUUUUUUUUUAGCCUUGUAUUAUUAUCCUCGUCUGGUUUUGGUAUCAAGACAUCGUAAAGUGAGUUGAGGCAGUAUUUCCUUUUUCAGCUGUUCACUGGAACAGUUAGUCUAAGAUGGAGAUGAUCAGUUACUUCCAUGUUUGCUGGAGAUCAUCUGUAAAACCAUCUAGGCCUUCCUUGUUUUUUAUUUUCUGUUUUUUGUUUUGUUUCUUUUCUUUUCUCUUUUUUUUUUUUGUUUUCUUUUGUUUUGUUUUGUUGUUGUUUUGAGACAGAGUCUCACUCUGUUGCCCAGGCUGGAGUGCAGUGGUGCAGUCUUGGCUUACUGCAACCUCUGCCUCCUGGGUGCAAGCGAUUCUCCUGCCUCAGCCUCCCGAGUAGCUGGGACUGCAGGCAUGCACCACCACGUCCAGCUAAUUUUUGUAUUUUUAGUAGAGACGGUGUUUCGCCAUGUUGGCCAGUCUGGUCUUGAACUCCUGACCUCAGGUGAUCUGCCUGCCUCAGCCUCACAAAGUGCUGGGAUUACAGGCAUGAGCCACCGCAUCUGGCCUGGCCUUCCUUGUUUUUGUAUCUUCCUGCCUGUCCCCCUAUAGAUUUUAAACAAUGGAUCCAACUUCUGUAAUAAUUAUGGGACCAUUUAGGUUUUCUGUUUCUUCUUGAGUAAUUUUUUUAUUGUGGGAAAAAAUACAUAACACAAAAUUUGCCUUUUUUUUUUUUUUUUUUUUUUGAGACAGGUCUUGCUCUGUUGCCCAGGCUGGGGUGCAGUGGCAUAAUCAUUGUAACCUCAAACUCCUGGUCUCAAGCGAUUCUCCUGCCUCAGCCUCCCGGGUAGCUGGGACUACAGGCAUUCACCACCAUGCCCAGCUAAUUUUUAAUUUAAUUUUUUUUUUUUGAGACAGAUCUCACUUUGUCACCCAGGCUGGAGUACAGUGGCGUGAUCUCAGCUCACUGCAACCUCUGCCUCCCGGGUUCAAGCAAUUUUUGUGCCUCAGCCUCAAAUUUUUAAUGUUUUUGGUAGAGAUGGGAUCUUGUUACUUUGCCCAGGCUGGUCUCCCAUUCCCAGACUCAAUCAAUCCUCCUACCUUGGCUUCCCAAAGCACUGGGAUUACAGGUGUGAGCCACCAUGCCCAGCCUCCAACUUUAUUCUUCUGCAUGUGGAUAUCAAGUUUCCCCUAUACCAUUUGUUGAAAAGACUGCCCUUUUCCCAAUUUGUAGCCUUGAUACCCUUGUCAAAAAUCAUCUGACCAUAUACUUGAGAGUUUCUUUCUGGGCUCUGGAUUAUAUUCUGUCUCUGUCUUUAUGCCAGGACCACACUGUAAUAUGUUUUAUUUUGUAAUAUAUUUUGGAAAUCAGGAAGUGUGAGUCCUCGAACUUUGUUCUCCUUUUUCAGAAUUGUUUUGGUUAUUUGGAGCCCCUUGAGAUUCUAUCUGAAUUUGGGAUGAAUCAGUCUAUUUUGAGUCAAUUUUUGAUAAACAAUAUUUUUCUAGGAACAUGCUUUUUUUUUUUUUUUUUUUUUUUGAGACAGAAUCUAGCUCUGUUGCCCGGGCUGGAGUGCAGUGGCAUGAUCUUGGCUCACUGCAACCUUUGCCUCCUGGGUUCAAGCAAUUCUCCUGCCUCAGCCUCUCGAGUAGCUGGGAUUACAGGUGCCCGCUACCACACCCAGCUGAUUUUUGUAUUUUUAGCAGAGACGGAGUUUCACUGUGUUGGCCAGGCUGGUCUUGAACUCCUGACCUCAGGUGAUCCACCUGCGUCGGUCUCCCAAAGUGCUGGGAUUACAAGCGUGAGCCACCGCGCCUGGCUGGAACAUGCCCAUUUUGUUUAAGUUUUCAAGUUUAUUAGCAUAAAGUGUUUUGGUUUUAUUUUAUCAUUGAUUUAUUAUUAAUAAAUUUCUUGGGUCAAAACCAGAUGACAUUGCUUAAUGUUCAUUUAUUGUUAACCUACAAAAAUUGCAGUUUCAUCUUGUUCAAUCUAAUACACACGGAAGAGCAUAUGCUGCUUCGAUGAAUCAUGAACUAUUGCACAUCUGUCCCCACCGACAGCCAGCAUGGACCCUUCUUUUUCCCUUCGCAGUUAGUCCUAGCCUUUCCUUGGUUUUCUUUAUACUUGUCCCAAAUAUGAAUUAGCCUUAAACAAUAAAUUAUUUACUUUUGCAACAAAUUUUUUGGUUUUAUUUUUUUAAAUGUGUUAACUAGAAUCACCAUGCUGUACAUCAGAUCUCUGGAACGUCUCCAUCCUGCAUAACUGAAACUUGGUACCCUUUGACCAGCAUUUUCCCAUUUCCCCUACCCCAGUCCUGGCGGCCACUGUUCUGCUCUGUUUCCAUGAGGCUGACAUUUUUACUUUCCACGUGAUCAACGUCAUGCAGUAUUUGCCUUUCUGUGCCCGGCUUACUUCACUUAAUGUAACGUCCUCCAGGUUCCUCCAUGUUGCAAAUGGCAGGAUUGCCUUCUUUUUAAAGGCUGAGUAGUGAUCCAUUGUGUAUCUGUACCACAUUUUCUUUAUCCAUUCAUCUGUUGGUGGGCAUUUCGUUUGAUUCCAUAUCUUGGCGAUUGUGAGUAGUGCUGCAAUGGACAUGCGAGUGUGGAUAUUGCUUCGACAUACCGAUUUCAUUUCCUUUAGAUACAUACCCAGAAACGGGAUUGCUGGAUUGUAUGGUCAUUCUCACUUUAAAUAUUUUGAGGAACCACCAUGCAUACCAUUUUCCAUACUGUUCCAAAAUGUUCCC